rnacentral:rRNA from 1 species
GCAAGUCGUACGAGAAAUCUUUGGGCUUGCUCGAAGAAAGUAAAGUGGCGCACGGGUGAGUAACGCGUGGGUAACCUGCCUUUGAAUUGGGGAUAACCCCGCGAAAGCGGGGCUAACACCGGAUAACAUCUUAUAUGUUAGUUCAUAUGAGAUCAAAAGUAGCCUCUGCAAGCAAGCUAUUGUUUGAAGAUGGGCCCGCGUACCAUUAGCUAGUUGGUAGGGUAACGGCCUACCAAGGCAACGAUGGUUAGCUGGUCUGAGAGGAUGAUC